rnacentral:rRNA from 1 species
UACGUAGGUGGCAAGCGUUGUCCGGAUUUAUUGGGCGUAAAGGGCGCGCAGGCGGUCUUUUAAGUCUGAUGUGAAGUCUCGCAGCUUAACUGCGAGCGGUCAUUGGAAACUGGAAGGCUUGAGGACAGAAGAGGAGAGUGGAAUUCCACGUGUAGCGGUGAAAUGCGUAGAGAUGUGGAGGAACACCAGUGGCGAAGGCGACUCUCUGGUCUGUAACUGACGCUGAGGCGCGAAAGCGUGGAUAGCGAACAGG